rnacentral:lncRNA from 1 species
CAAAACUUCGAUGGUUACUUUUGUUUCUUCAACCCCCGUUUAGUGGCAAAGUUACUCUUUAGGCUUCCAAAUUUCUCCAUCUAUUAAAUGAAACUACUAGCAUUGAAAUGACAUGCAUUUCAAACCACGGAUGCUCCUCGUUUUUGUACCUUGUGUGAGAGUGGAUGAAUCGUCAACUCAUCUUUUUCUCCAUUGUGAGGUUGCCGGAAGGGUGUGGCGUGAUAUUAUGGGGUGGUGGGAGAGGUUUAUUGUAAUUCCGCCUAAUUUAUUUGUCUUAUGGGAGUGUUGGAGUGGCGGGGAGAGGAUUAAGCGUAUUCGUCAGGGGUUAAGAUUAAUUUGGCAUGUUACGAUUUGGGUUUUAUGGAAAGCUAGAAAUGACAAGAUUUUUAAUAAUCGGAAUCCGGAGGUGGUGGAUAUUGUGGAGGAUAUUAAGGUAUUGACUUGGCGGUGGUCGUUGGAGAUAAUUGCAAUGCCUCCUUGUAUGUUCUAUGAGUGGUGUUGGGAUCCGAGGGAAUGCCUUUCGCGAUUGUGCUAAGUUGUGGAGGUGAUGUUCUCUGCAGGCAGUGCUGAUAGCUUUGCUGGUUUUUUGGAUGCUGUGUUGGAUUGGGCCUGUUAACAGGUUUUAUCAGCAGUUGUUGUGGUUUUUGCCCAGCUGUUGGUGGUUAGCAGCAGUGUUGUGCUGUUAGGCCUGCUGGUCCUGUGUUCUGCCGCUGUUGGGAUUAGGCUGAGGGUGGUUUUCCUGGGUUCUGUGGCUAGUUUGAGCUAUGUUAUUGUAAUUUGUUGUCUUGUUAGCAGAUUACAAGAGCAUAACUUGCUUCUGUCAUUAGAUAGGGAGUUUAUCUUUGUCAUUAGGAGUUUUUUGGUGUUGAUUUUGGUGUUCCGUAUAUAUGCGGCACCAUUUUUGUAGUUUCUGUUUUCGUCCUUUCCUUGCGGCUUGCGGGGUUGGCGCUAAUAAAUUUUGACGAUUCAAAAUAAUAUUAAGUAAAGGAGUUGGAUCU